UAUGGCUCAGGAUGAACGCUGGCGGCGUACCUAACGCAUGCAAGUCGAACGGGGAUUGGGAGCAAUCUUGAUCCGAGUGGCAAACGGGUGAGUAACACGUGGGUAACCUACCCCGGAGUGGGGAAUAACGACCCGAAAGGGUCGCUAAUACCGCAUAAUCCCGGAAGGGGAAAGAUGCAAAUCGCUCUGGGACGGGCCUGCGGCCCAUCAGGUAGUUGGGGAGGUAACGGCCCCCCAAGCCGAUGACGGGUAGCUGAUCUGAGAGGAUGACCAGCCACACUGGCACUGAUACACGGGCCAGACUCCUACGGGAGGCAGCAGCGAGGAAUAUUGCGCAAUGGGCGCAAGCCUGACGCAGUAACGCCGCGUGCGGGAAGAAGGCCUUCGGGUCGUAAACCGCUUUUUGGAGGGACGAGACAGGACGGUACCUCUAGAAUAAGUCUCGGCUAACUACGUGCCAGCAGCCGCGGUAAAACGUAGGAGGCGAGCGUUAUCCGGAUUCACUGGGCGUAAAGCGCGUGUAGGCGGUUCGGCAAGUCGAUUGUGAAAGCCUCUGGCUCAACUGGGGGAGGUCAGUCGAAACUGCGGGACUGGAGGGUCACAGAGGAAGGUGGAAUUCCCGGUGUAGCGGUGGAAUGCGUAGAGAUCGGGAGGAACACCAGUGGCGAAAGCGGCCUUCUGGGUGAUCACUGACGCUGAGACGCGAAAGCGUGGGUAGCAAACGGGAUUAGAUACCCCGGUAGUCCACGCCCUAAACGAUGCGGGCUAGGUGUUGGCAAGAUUUCUUGUCCGUGCCGUAGCAAACGCGUUAAGCCCGCCGCCUGGGGACUACGAGCGCAAGCUUAAACUCAAAU
rnacentral:rRNA from 1 species